AUGCGCCGCCCUAUCCCGGAUGCCCGGCCCCGCUCCCCACCAGCGGGACGCCUGCUCCCCCGCGCCGCCGAGCCCCUGCUCCACAGGACACCAGCGGCCAUGGCGGGCGUCCCUCCACGCUGCCAGGACCCCCCGCGCGCCGUCGAAUCUCCCGGCUCCCCUGCUCCACCAGGACCAGCGGCCAUGGCGUUCAUCCCUCCUCCACCACCGCUAGUGGCCAUGGCGGUCCAGCACAACACCGACCACUCUCUCGUGUUGGAAAUCUUGACCUCUGACACUGCACGAGCGCGAGCACCCGAGCCACUCCGUCCUCGCCUCUGCUCCUCCCUACUUGCGAGCACCUUCGCAUCCAUGGUCGACCGCCUCCCAUCGUCCUCUACUCCGUCCCCCCCUUGGCUAGCUGGUGCCCGUGCCUCCUUGCCUUCCCGUCCUCCUCUGCUUCGGCCGCCUCUUGGCUAG
rnacentral:rRNA from 1 species